GCUGAGUGUGCCUGCAGGCCCUGGGCACUGCAGCUCCCAUUCUCCUGGACAGCACUGUCCUCUGGGCCUGCCCAGCCCCCUCAGGCACACUCAGCCUGCUGCUUGCUGUGAACUGGCGGUCAGGAGAAGUGUGCUAUAUUUCACAGGUCCUACUCGGUUACAGUGGGUAAAGUAGUAACUCUUGAUACUGUGGGAGGAACAUUAUUGAACAGGGGUGAGAAAAAGCAAGUGAAAGAACAGUUCCUUGCACUGUCCUCUGGGGGACUGCUAAAGAAAAUCUAGUUCCGAAGUUCUGAGACUGAUAAUAGCUAAAGAGACAUGUCCAAAAGCUUGGUUUUGUUGUUAAUUUAUUUUCUGUUUUCUGUUUCUAGGAGGUAUAGUAUGAGUUCAAUACUGAACAACAAAGCUGUUUGUUAAAGUCAUCUCUGCACCCUGGAAUUGUGUUUUUCCAGGAGUGACUGUGGCUGGGUGCAGAAGGAACACUUGCUGUUUGCCUGUCUCUCAUUAUUGUGGUUUUUGAAACUGCUUGGGAAAUCUGAACUGAGGGGAACAGAACCUACAGCAUUUCUCUUAAGCAAAGUUUGAAGCAGUACUUCAUGCAGAGCUACCAGUCUCAUCCAAAGCAAAGUAAACCAAAAAAAAUCUUUCACAUAAGUAGAAUUUCAUUUCAUUGAUGAAGAUUGAAAAAAAGGUCAAAACAAAUAAUAGUGACACUAAGACCAGACUUGCUCGAGCUCAUUUUAGCUCAGUGACCAUGCAAGCCAGCUGAAUGUUGCAGGGACAUUUGGUGGUAUAAAUCAAACACUCCUGCUUCGCAUGUAAAACACGGAUGGGAUUAAACCAAGUCUGUCUUUCCUGGGGAAGUGUCAGAUGCAGAGUGUUCCCUGUGCAGAGAUUUCACAGCUCUGACUGUGGCCCUCAAAGGAAGGAAAUGUUAUCACAACAAACGUUUCCAGAAAUCUCAAAAUCAGCAAAAGAAAAGCCACACCUUUGGAUGAGGGGAAAUGCUCAAGGUGGAAUCAGUAGAGGUGAUUUGUGAGCAUCUGAGGAGCAUCAAGGAGCAGAACCGUUCCAUGGUGGUAUCAGAGGCCCUGGCAGCGAGUGUCACAGGAAUGCGAAUCUGUCCACAUCUCAAACCAGAGAGAACAUGAAGUAUUAAACAUAGACUUUUUAAUUAUCCAUCUGUGAAAUCUCACAAGCUGCUGUUGAUUAUUAACUCUCACACUUGUGGGUGUCCAUGGGGCUGCUAAAUAUAUGUUGCACUGCUUUAUUUGUUUCAGAAAAAGGAAGGCAAAAUGGAUGGACUAGAAAAAGAGAAUAAAGAUCUUUUAGAUAAUUCUUCUUCUACAUCCCAGGAGAGAGCUGAGAGCUCAUGGGUUGUGAUCCAGAUCAGGAGGGUAUUAUAACACAGAAAUAAUACAUUGUGUUUUGAAUGAAAAAAUGUAUUGUAUAAGUCAAAUUAGGAUUCAACACUGGAUCACAACAUUUUAAACCUUUUAAUUUACAUUCGUAAGGUGAUCCAACUCAAGACACAUUUGACAACAAAAGAAAAAAUAAUCUUUUUGAACACAUACUUCCUGUUAGCUCCUUAAUAGACUUUUUCUCUUUUCAAAGCUGAAAUAAAUAAAAGAUGGGAAAAAAUCAAUAUGUAAACAGGUGAAGAAAUUUAUUGGCUGAGAGUGUGGGCAGAACUAAUUUAGAUAAGGCUGUGCUUCUGCAGUAAUCCAAGGUUUCGAAAUAACCUCCUUUGCAAAUGUUUGACCUUAAUAAACCACAGUGGAUGAAGAUGUACCAGAAAAGUUUGCUUCACUUCUGGUACUUAUUGAUUAACUAAAAACAUAGGUAUUAUUUGCUUUAAUCAAAUUUUCUUUUUUUUUUUAAAAGACUUGUUAGCCUAAAUGUUCUUCCUGGAACAAGAUACCAGUUCUUUGACCAGUAUCUCAUUUAGAGGUUUUAUUUGGAAUUUUGUAGGAGAAAGCAUUUUUAUCCCAUUGGUUUCAGCUCUAUGGAAGUUCAAUAGUGAGGAUCUUUUUUUUUGAGAACAAGCAGUCCAUUAAAAGAAC